AUUGAACGCUGGCGGUAGGCCUAACACAUGCAAGUCGAGCGGCAGCACGGUGAUUGCUUCCUCUUACGGGUGCCGAGGGGCGGACGGUUGCUAAAAACAUGCCAAUCUACUUUUUCUAGGGUGAUAACGUGGGGACACUUACGCUAAUCGCGCAUACGACCUACGGGUGGAAUCUUGGGAUCUUCGGACCUUAGAUGAUUGAAUGAGCCGAUGUCGGAUUAGCUAGUUGGCGGGGUAAAGACCCACCAAGGCGACGAUCCGUAGCUGGUCUGAGAGGAUGAUCAGCCACACUGGAACUGAGACACGGUCCAGACUCCUACGGGAGGCAGCAGUGGGGAAUAUUGGACAAUGGGCGCAAGCCUGAUCCAGCCAUACCGCGUGGGUGAAGAAGGCCUUCGGAUUGUAAAGCCCUUUUGGUUGGAAAGAAAAGCAGCAGGUUAAUACCUCGCUGUUCUGACGGUACCAAAAGAAUAAGCACCGGCUAACUUCGUG
rnacentral:rRNA from 1 species